rnacentral:tRNA from 1 species
GCCUUGGUAGCAUAGUUGGCCAAUGCGCCACCUUGGUAAGGUGGAGAUCGCGGGUCCAAAUCCCGCCCAGGGCU